GCGAAAGUAGCUCAGUUGGUAGAGCACAACCUUGCCAAGGUUGAUGUCGUGGGUUCGAGCCCCAUCUUUCGCU
rnacentral:tRNA from 1 species